rnacentral:rRNA from 1 species
GACUAAGCGUACACGGUGGAUGCCCUGGCAGUCAGAGGCGAUGAAGGACGUGCUAAUCUGCGAAAAGCGUCGGUAAGGUGAUAUGAACCGUUAUAACCGGCGAUGUCCGAAUGGGGAAACCCAGUGCAAUUCGUUGCACUAUCGUUAACUGAAUACAUAGGUUAACGAGGCGAACCGGGGGAACUGAAACAUCUAAGUACCCCGAGGAAAAGAAAUCAACCGAGAUUCCCCCAGUAGCGGCGAGCGAACGGGGAGCAGCCCAGAGUCUGAAUCAGCUUGUGUGUUAGUGGAACGGUCUGGAAAGUCCGACGGUACAGGGUGAUAGUCCCGUACACCAAAAUGCACAGGCUGUGAACUCGAAGAGUAGGGCGGGACACGUGGUAUCCUGUCUGAAUAUGGGGGGACCAUCCUCCAAGGCUAAAUACUCCUGACUGACCGAUAGUGAACCAGUACCGUGAGGGAAAGGCGAAAAGAACCCCGGCGAGGGGAGUGAAAAAGAACCUGAAACCGUGUACGUACAAGCAGUGGGAGCACCUUCGGGUGUGACUGCGUACCUUUUGUAUAAUGGGUCAGCGACUUAUAUUCUGUAGCAAGGUUAACCGUAUAGGGGAGCCGCAGGGAAACCGAGUCUUAACUGGGCGUUAAGUUGCAGGGUAUAGACCCGAAACCCGGUGAUCUAGCCAUGGGCAGGUUGAAGGUUGGGUAACACUAACUGGAGGACCGAACCGACUAAUGUUGAAAAAUUAGCGGAUGACUUGUGGCUGGGGGUGAAAGGCCAAUCAAACCGGGAGAUAGCUGGUUCUCCCCGAAAGCUAUUUAGGUAGCGCCUCGUGAAUUCAUCUUCGGGGGUAGAGCACUGUUUCGGCUAGGGGGUCAUCCCGACUUACCAACCCGAUGCAAACUACGAAUACCGAAGAAUGUUAUCACGGGAGACACACGGCGGGUGCUAACGUCCGUCGUGAAGAGGGAAACAACCCAGACCGCCAGCUAAGGUCCCAAAGUCAUGGUUAAGUGGGAAACGAUGUGGGAAGGCACAGACAGCCAGGAUGUUGGCUUAGAAGCAGCCAUCAUUUAAAGAAAGCGUAAUAGCUCACUGGUCGAGUCGGCCUGCGCGGAAGAUGUAACGGGGCUAAACCAUGCACCGAAGCUGCGGCAGCGACACUAUGUGUUGUUGGGUAGGGGAGCGUUCUGUAAGCCUGCGAAGGUGUGCUGUGAGGCAUGCUGGAGGUAUCAGAAGUGCGAAUGCUGACAUAAGUAACGAUAAAGCGGGUGAAAAGCCCGCUCGCCGGAAGACCAAGGGUUCCUGUCCAACGUUAAUCGGGGCAGGGUGAGUCGACCCCUAAGGCGAGGCCGAAAGGCGUAGUCGAUGGGAAACAGGUUAAUAUUCCUGUACUUGGUGUUACUGCGAAGGGGGGACGGAGAAGGCUAUGUUAGCCGGGCGACGGUUGUCCCGGUUUAAGCAUGUAGGCUGGUUGUCCAGGCAAAUCCGGAUAAUCAAGGCUGAGGUGUGAUGACGAGGCACUACGGUGCUGAAGUAACAAAUGCCCUGCUUCCAGGAAAAGCCUCUAAGCAUCAGGUAACAUCAAAUCGUACCCCAAACCGACACAGGUGGUCAGGUAGAGAAUACCAAGGCGCUUGAGAGAACUCGGGUGAAGGAACUAGGCAAAAUGGUGCCGUAACUUCGGGAGAAGGCACGCUGGUGUGUAGGUGAAGUCCCUGCGGAUGGAGCUGAGACCAGUCGAAGAUACCAGCUGGCUGCAACUGUUUAUUAAAAACACAGCACUGUGCAAACACGAAAGUGGACGUAUACGGUGUGACGCCUGCCCGGUGCCGGAAGGUUAAUUGAUGGGGUUAUCCGUAAGGAGAAGCUCUUGAUCGAAGCCCCGGUAAACGGCGGCCGUAACUAUAACGGUCCUAAGGUAGCGAAAUUCCUUGUCGGGUAAGUUCCGACCUGCACGAAUGGCGUAAUGAUGGCCAGGCUGUCUCCACCCGAGACUCAGUGAAAUUGAACUCGCUGUGAAGAUGCAGUGUACCCGCGGCAAGACGGAAAGACCCCGUGAACCUUUACUAUAGCUUGACACUGAACAUUGAGCCUUGAUGUGUAGGAUAGGUGGGAGGCUUUGAAGCGUGGACGCCAGUCUGCGUGGAGCCAACCUUGAAAUACCACCCUUUAAUGUUUGAUGUUCUAACGUUGGCCCCUGACCGGGGUUGCGGACAGUGUCUGGUGGGUAGUUUGACUGGGGCGGUCUCCUCCCAAAGCGUAACGGAGGAGCACGAAGGUUAGCUAAUCCUGGUCGGACAUCAGGAGGUUAGUGCAAUGGCAUAAGCUAGCUUGACUGCGAGCGUGACGGCGCGAGCAGGUGCGAAAGCAGGUCAUAGUGAUCCGGUGGUUCUGAAUGGAAGGGCCAUCGCUCAACGGAUAAAAGGUACUCCGGGGAUAACAGGCUGAUACCGCCCAAGAGUUCAUAUCGACGGCGGUGUUUGGCACCUCGAUGUCGGCUCAUCACAUCCUGGGGCUGAAGUAGGUCCCAAGGGUAUGGCUGUUCGCCAUUUAAAGUGGUACGCGAGCUGGGUUUAGAACGUCGUGAGACAGUUCGGUCCCUAUCUGCCGUGGGCGCUGGAGAAUUGAGGGGGGCUGCUCCUAGUACGAGAGGACCGGAGUGGACGCAUCACUGGUGUUCGGGUUGUCAUGCCAAUGGCACUGCCCGGUAGCUAAAUGCGGAAGAGAUAAGUGCUGAAAGCAUCUAAGCACGAAACUUGCCCCGAGAUGAGUUCUCCCUGAGACUUUAAGUCUCCUGAAGGAACGUU